rfam:Triticum aestivum genome assembly, contig: Triticum_aestivum_CS42_TGACv1_scaffold_225886_3B
GUAAUACUCCCUCCGUCCCAAAAUAACUGACUCAAGAGUAAUUCAACUUUGUACUAAAGUUAGUAUAAAGUUGAGUCAUUUUUGAGUCACUUAUUUUGGGACGGAGGGAGUAAGAU